rnacentral:rRNA from 1 species
GACGAACGCUGGCGGCGUGCUUAACACAUGCAAGUCGAACGAAGUGGCGAACGGGUGAGUAACGCGUAAUCCACCUGCCCUUCAGAGGGGGACAACAGUUGGAACCGACUGCUAAUACCGCAUACUGAAGGCUGAUAUUGCGUCGGAUUAGUCAGUUGGAGGGGUAACGGCCCACCAAGGCGAUGAUCAGUAGCCGUGAUGAUAGGAUGAACGGCCACAUGUGGACUGAGACACGGCUAAGACUCCUACGGGAGGCAGCAGUGGGGAAUCUGCCGCAAUGGACGAAAGUCUGACGGAGAAACGCCGCGUGAGUGAUGACGGCCUUCGGGUUGUAAAGCUCUGUUAAUCGGGACGCGGUACCGGAAUAGAAAGCCACGGCUAACUACGUGCCAGCAGCCGCGGUAAUAC